rnacentral:lncRNA from 10 species
GGGUUUGGGCAGCCAGAGGGAGGUGAGGGUGCUGGAGCGGGGGUCAAUCGGUCACUCCGGCCGGAGAUCUGAGUGGCCUCUGCCCCCUCUGCGCUGUGGAGUGCAUCUGAUUGCCAGCCUCGCUGGACCGUUGAGAGGAUUCAUCGAGACCCUGGAUAUGAAUAUGCAGUGUGAACUGAAGUUUGGGGACAUGAGUAAUCAGUCACAGUGGCCCAAGAUUUGAGGUGUAAAUGGAGAAGUCAGAAUGAUUCGCUGCAGCUGUCUGGAACAGGUUGGGUGAGGGCAAGGGUGGGAAAGGUGGCUGAGGCCAGGUUGUGAGAGGCCUUUCAUGGCAGGCUGAGGGGGUUAUACUAUAGGGAGGAUUUUAAAAAGAGGAGCUGGUGGACUGGUGAGCAGGGCAUAUAGGUGACACCUAGCCAACUUGAGAGGUCAGAAUACAUGAUUCCAGAAGGCUAAGGAGAAGGCUGCCAGUAGAGGAAAGGGGAAGAAUUCCCAGGGCGAGGAAAACACAUAAGCCUUUGCGUGUGGAGCUGUGUAAAUUCAAGGUCUGGCCAGGGGGCUGUGAGAUGCCGUGUGUGCUUGGAGCACAGGAAUGAGAAGUGAGGUGAGAAGGAAGGGGCCAGAACUUGGCUUGGAGAACGGAGGUCAGUGCCCUCAGGGGGUGGAGGUGAUGGAACUUGGUGCUUGUCUGGCUUUGGGGAGUGAGGGAGUGGGUGGAAAUGGGGACGUCCAAAGUUCUAGAUGGUGUGGCAAGAAUUUUGUCUAGAUGGUGUGGCUUCCUCAUGAUCAUGUCUUGGGGUUGAGCAGGGGUUCUCUUUGGUGGGGAGCUGGGUAGGGAGGUAAUGCUUCACUUUUGGAUGGGGCGAUCAAAUUCAUUCAUGUAUUCAUUCAACCAAUAUCGAAUUGAUUCCUUACCGUUUCCUGAAAGACCUUUGAUAGAUUCUGAGGGUAGAAUGUUGACCAGGAUGGAGCUGGGCCUUGGAGAGUGGGGAAGGCAGGCAGUAACACAGCAGGCAGUAGAUCAACGAGGCCAUAUCAUGGAUUGUGCUGUGGGAUGUGAAGGAAAUGAACAGACGGAGGACGCAGAGCAGGGCACCUGGAGCUACCACGGUCACUAAAAGCUGCUAUGACCAAGUGUUCUGUGAGCUGAAACCUGAAGGCCAGGAAGGAGUCACUCUUGUGAGGGGCUGAAAGGAACAUCACAGAGAGGGGAGGAGCUAGCACAAAAGCUCUCCAGAUGGGAGAGGCUGGUGCACUGGGCAAGGGAAAGCCAGCACCAUGGUGCCCAGAAGGGAAGGCAGCUGGGGGGCCAGUCUACGCAGGGCCUUGCAGAGUGUCUGGGUUUACUCUAAGGGCAGAGGGGAAGGUUUUGAUCAUGACGCACUGCAGUCUGAAACUCCUGGGCUCAGGCAAUCCUGUCUCAGCUUCCUGGGUAGUUGGGACUGUAGGCAGGCACCACCACCUCUGCCUAAUUAUUAUUAUCAUUUUUUUUGGAGAGACAGGGUCUCAAUAUGUUGCUGUGUCUCAGAGGGGAAGGUUUUAAGUCAGGGAAUGAUUCUGUGAGCUUAAAAAAUCACUUGGAAAUUGCCAUAGGGAAGGGAGGGAGAAGGCCAGGCAUGGUGGCUCACGCCUAUAAUCCCAGGACUUUGGGAGGCUGAGGCAGGCGGAUCGCUUGAGGCCAGG